AGGCUAUCCAUGGACAAACCCGCACCAUUUUCACACCCACCUCUUCGCGACGCCGUAGCAUUGCCACUGCCGGUGCCUUAUGGGUUUCACUGUGAAAAAUUAAGAGCUUUCAAGAUGGGACCAUGGACAACUGUUAAAGCCCUCUGUGGCAGAUGUGGCAGGAUCUGAAUGGGGCAAACUCCUGUGCACAGCUGGGCAAGGCUACCCUUUGUGAUAUCUACUGG